AACGGGGCGGAGCUUGGAGCGGGAAUCAAAGUAACAGGUGUGACGUGGUACAGUUCUUAAUGACUGACUACCUAACUGCCAUCAAGCUUACAGAUAUACCCCAGAAGUGAUCCAGAGAAGUUAACAGCCUUCAGUCAUCGUGAUACAGAGAGAAAUGGCACCGACUAAAGCCGCUGCUGCUUGCCCCUACGAACUCCCCAGCAAGUAUAAGUUCCUGAAAGUCCUUGGAGAGGGCGUCUUUGGAACGGUCCUGAAAUGUUUGGACAAGGAGACCAGUGAGACGGUGGCUAUAAAGUUUCCUAACUGCCAGGGCCAACAAACCUGGAACGAGAUUGCCAUGCUGAAAAAGAUCAAGGGCCUCAAGCUUGACAAACACAACAUUGUCAAGUUUAUCGAUUGUUUUCCGACCACCCUUGGAAAGGCGAUUGUGUUUGAGCUAUUGGACAUCAGCCUUUAUGACUACAUGGAGAAGAGAAAUGAUGCCCCGAUGCUCCUGAGUGACAUCAGAACCAUCAUCCAACAGAUGGCCACAGCGUUCAAAGCACUGAAGGAGAACCAGGUGAUCCACACUGACGUCAAGCUGGACAACAUAAUGAUGGUGAAUCACCGACGACGCCCAUUUGAAGUCAAGCUGAUAGACUUUGGUCUGGCCAUUGCCAGAUUAGAGGCCAGGACGGGCAGAACUCUGCAACCAGUAGCUUUUAGGUCCCCAGAAAUUAUCUUGGGCUGUCGAUAUUCUCAGGCCAUUGAUAUGUGGACCCUGGGCUGUGCCAUGUUCCAGAUGAUCUGCGGCCGCCUGCCGUUCUCAGGAGAAACUGAAUGUGAAAUAAUGUUGGGCAUUGUUGAACUCCUUGGUCAGCCAGCAGACGACGUUCUAGAAAAUGGUCGACAGACAAAGACUUUCUUCAACUUAAAUGACCAAGUGUGGAGGAUCAAGACUUACGCUGAGUGUUUUCCAGACCAGACAAGAACCAAAAAGAGCCACGAGUUCCAGUCUCUGGAUGAUCUGAAAGCAAUGCGUCUGGAGGAAAAAAACAAGACUGAGGCCGUGGAGCGAGAGCAGUGUGUCGAGCUCCUGAAGGCCAUGCUGAGGGUGGAUGCAAAGAAGAGGAUCACUCCCAAGAAAGUCCUCACUCAUCCAUUCAUCACAAAAGACCACCCGAACAAUGAUGCUUAGGCAUCAACAUCAGGUCCAGUUCAGAAGCCCAAGACCAACCAACAUAAGGAGAUGAGACCAAAGGCCGCGUGUUAAUUACAAGACUGCCACCACCAAGUCUUACUUUGGCUCAUCCUGCAGCAGCCAAAACACACAGCAGUGGAAGUUCUGGAGCGUACAGUUAGUGAGCUGAAGGGUAGGUGAGAUGUCUUCCUCUGGUCAUGACACACACUUAUCAGAUGAGACAUAGUUCAGCUCGCCAGAAUUAAUUGCAGAUCUGAGAGGAAGUUGACAUUAUUCUUUAAGACGUCAUAACAAUAACAUGAUGAUUCUGUGUGCGUGUGUUAUUUCAUGUUUUAUGUCCGUACUGAUGAGGUCAAGACAUCAAGGAGUUAAGGCUUCACCUCUUCGAGUCAGGACAGUGAAUGAUAGCCUACUUCUGCGCUCUGGAGGAUGAAGACAGCAGGACCAUCCAACCAGACGACUGCCCUCCAUCUCCAGAAAAGACUUUCAGCUGCCGUGUUUCCAGCGUCGAUGAGGAUUAGAGAUGUGUAAAUUAAUGUUCUGUGUACGGGUUCUUUGCAUGGCUUUCUGGGCUUCUGAUUUGUUUGCUCAUUCUUUCCGUGUUUGUCUGGUUUUCUCCGGUUGCUCCGUUUUUCCCACAAACAUAAAAUAUGUUUUGAAAAAAAAUAUGCAGCUCAUUUAGGGACAGAUCUGAUUGCAGACAAUCACACAUGUCAAUAUUUGCUUGGAAAAGCCCCCAUAUUGCCUGCAUGCCCUAUCACAGAAAUAUGGCACAUUCCCUCCCUUCAGUUUGCAGAUGAACUUCAGUUACAAAGACUCCGAGACAUAGAUGAGGAGGAGGAAGAAGAAAAAAGAAUUGCUUCAGACACAUUCUCUCUUGGUUGAGGGAGACUUCAGGCUGCUGUGUUUCCUGCGCUGAUGAGGAUUUGGGAUGUGUGAAGUGAAGUUCUGUGUUGGGUUUCUUUAGCAUGGUUUUAUGGGCUUCUCGGGAGUUGUGCGAUCAAAACCCUCAUAGAGCUUCCGAGGGCAGCAUGGUGGCUCAGUGGUCAAUUUUGGCAAAGCAGAAGGUACUGGCUUUUUCCAGCCCCCUUUCUGACUGUGUAAAGCUUGCUCAUUGGCCCCGUGUCUGCGUGGGUUUCCCCCGGGUUCUCCGGUUUCCUCCCACACUCAAUCAGUCAAUAAACAAUUACAUUGGAUUUUAA